rnacentral:tRNA from 1 species
CGCUUCUCCCGUCAAGGAAAAAAACGGGAGAAG